AUACGGAGGGUGCGAGCGUUAAUCGGAAUUACUGGGCGUAAAGGGUGCGUAGGCGGCUUGAUAAGUCGGAUGUGAAAGCCCCGGGCUUAACCUGGGAAUUGCAUUCGAUACUGUCAGGCUAGAGUCUGUCAGAGGUUGGCGGAAUUCCUGGUGUAGCGGUGAAAUGCGUAGAUAUCAGGAGGAACACCAGUGGCGAAGGCGGCUAACUGGGGAAAUACUGACGCUGAGGCACGAAAGCGUGGGGAGCAAACAGGAUUAGAAACCCUAGUAGUCC
rnacentral:rRNA from 1 species